rnacentral:rRNA from 1 species
UACGAAGGGGGCGAGCGUUGUUCGGAUUUACUGGGCGUAAAGGGCGCGUAGGCGGCGGGUCAAGUCGAGUGUGAAAGCCCCGGGCUCAACCUGGGAGGUGCGCUCGAGACUGGUCUGCUAGAGUUCGGGAGAGGAGCGUGGAAUUCCCAGUGUAGAGGUGAAAAUUCGUAGAUAUUGGGAAGAACACCGGUGGCGAAGGCGGCGCUCUGGACCGAGACUGACGCUGAGGCGCGAAAGCGUGGGAAGCAAACAGGG